rnacentral:lncRNA from 1 species
CUUCAAAAAUUCAUCUAUGAUUUAAUGGCCGGAAAAUAAAUGACAACGAAAGUUGAUGAAGAUGAUAACAACAUGACGUUGGUGAAGAUUAUAAUAGGUAAAAUUUAUUUUAGAUUUAUAUAUUUUUUUAGAUUUGAUGUUAUUUUAGAUUUAAAUAUGUUUAAGAAUUCAUAUUUUAGAUUCAUAUCUAUUUUGUCUGAGAGCUAACCCAUUUUGUUCUUUUAAGAAAUUUAAUUGCUCAUAUAGUUCAGAUUAAAUUAUGCUACUCUAAGAAAAACUUUCCUGUGAAUUAUAUUUUCUUUUUCAGAAGUUAUGGGACCAAAGAAGGAAGGUAGGAAUGCUACUUAAGUCUUUGUGGCCACUAAUGAAUUGGCGCCUUGUAAUUAAUCGAAAUUAACAAUAUUAGUGUAGUAAUCAAUAAAUUAUCUAAUUAACAUAUGGGUUUAGAGAUAGCAUAGCACCCACACAUUUGUUAGGCGGUUGAUGAGGGCGGUUAAUUAAGAAUAGUUUUGGCGGUUGGAAGGUUCUAAUUCAUAAGCACAAAGUCAUACUAAUUAAGGCCUUUGAGGGGGAUGGAGGGUGGGGGUUAGUUUUUGGUGUAGGUGUUAUAUCAAAGUUAAUCAGAUCUUUUUAGUAGGGUGGAGCUACGAUGAUGGCAGAGGCUGUGUCUCUCUAACUGGCGGACCAUCCCAAGAAGGUGUCAUUAUUUGUAGGGCUCAUUGAUGUCCACAGUCUCGAAAUUACGAGCUGGUGAGCACUUUUAACAUUAAAUUAAUCCAUGCAUGUUAACAACUUGUCCUAAUAUUACCGAGACUAAAAACCAAUCAACCGUAACAGUUCGUUUUUCUUGUCAUCCGCUUUUAUUCUACUUUAUUUGAACAACCAUUAUAUCAUUAAAAUAAAUAAAUAAUAUUCAAUUCCUAACCAGUCAAAUGAAAGAAAUGAACCAACUCCCAUUAUGACAAUCAAUCGGUGAAUACUUUUGCAUAUUGUAAUUACCAAGAGAAUUGUUGCACAAACACAUGUAUGUAUGGGAUUAUUGGGUUGAUUACCACUAACUAAUUAAUCAUUCUCAAUUAUAUCUUUGGCCUUCUUUGUCUUUUCCCUUGCAUUUUUAGCAGACAUCAAAUUGAAGACAACACAAAACUAGAAACACAACAAGAUAGUGUAGUUAGGUAGCUAAUUUGGAUUCAAGUGUGACCUCAUUAUACAUGUUUCCAUUAUUUAAAAUAAUUAAUUAAAUGUUUUUUUAUCAUGUAUAUCUAAUUUAUUAAUUAAUGUUUUGUUCGUUAUUUAAACAAUCACUCACGUGUACAUAAAACUUAAAGUCAUUAAACC